CCUACGGGGGGCUGCAGUGGGGAAUAUUGGACAAUGGGGGAAACCCUGAUCCAGCAAUGCCGCGUGUGUGAAGAAGGCCUGCGGGUUGUAAAGCACUUUCGGUUGGGAAGAAAAGUUUGGCGCCAAUACCGCCGAACCUUGACGUUACUGACAGAAGAAGCACCGGCUAACUCUGUGCCAGCAGCCGCGGUAAUACAGAGGGUGCAAGCGUUAGUCGAAAGCACUGAGGGGAACACGCAAGUCGGGUGUGAAAUCCCCGGGAUUAACCGGGGAACUGCAUUCGAUACUACAUGGCUAGAGUAUGGUAGAGGGAAGUGGAAUUUCCGGUGUAGCGGUGAAAUGCGUAGAUAUCGGAAGGAACACCAAUGGCGAAGGCAGCUUCCUGGACUAAUACUGACACUGAGGCACGAAAGCGUGGGUAGCAAACAGGAUUAGAUACCCGUGUAGUC
rnacentral:rRNA from 1 species